AGUAGACAUACUGCAGCUGGAUACUAGUGAUCGACGCAGAAUUUCAAUAAUAAAGAUGCCUCCAAGGUCUCACCAUUUUGGAUCUGAACCUACAGGGAGACAAUACUACAGACUGGCCACAGUGUGUCUUGGGAUACUGUGUUUGCUCCUGCUGUUGAUCACAGCAGUGCUUUAUGUUUACUAUGAAGGAGCUCUUAGUGACAUUGAAAAGAAGCACAAUAU